GCCCUAAAUCUAGCCCACACAACCUCCUAUAUCACUACCCCCUCAACCGCCAAUAAACAAAACAUUUUAACAAUUUAGUACAGGCGAUCGAAAAUUUUUUAAGCGCUUCAGAUAAAGUACCGCAAGGGAAUGAUGAAAUAGCAAUGAAAUAACCUCAAAGCCCAAAACAGCAGAGCCUCUYCCUCG
rnacentral:rRNA from 1 species